rnacentral:rRNA from 1 species
CCUUUAGAUUGGGGACAACAGUUGGAAACGACUGCUAAUACCGAAUGUGCCUUAGGGUGAAAGAUUUAUUGUCUAGAGAUUGGCUCGCGUCAGAUUAGCUAGUUGGAGUGGUAACGGCACACCAAGGCGACGAUCUGUACUUGGUCUGAGAGGAUGACCAGGCACACUGGAACUGAGACACGGUCCAGACUCCUACGGGAGGCAGCAGUGGGGAAUUUUCCGCAAUGGGCGAAAGCCUGACGGAGCAAUACCGCGUGAGGGAGGACGGCUUUUGGGUUGUAAACCUCUUUUAUCAGGGAAGAAUCGAUGACGGUACCUGAUGAAUCAGCAUCGGCUAACUCCGUGCCAGCAGCCGCGGUAAUACGGAGGAUGCAAGCGUUAUCCGGAAUUAUUGGGCGUAAAGCGUCCGUAGGUGGUUUAUCAAGUCUGCUGUCAAAGCGUGCGGCUUAACCGCAUAAGGGCAGUGGAAACUGAUGAACUAGAGUGCGAUAGGGGUAACAGGAAUUCCCAGUGUAGCGGUGAAAUGCGUAGAUAUUGGGAAGAACACCAGCGGCGAAAGCGUGUUACUGGGUCUGCACUGACACUGAGGGACGAAAGCUAGGGGAGCGAAAGGGAUUAGAUACCCCUGUAGUCCUAGCCGUAAACGAUGACAACUAGGCGUGGUUCGUAUCGACCCGAGCCGUGCCGUAGCCAACGCGUUAAGUUGUCCGCCUGGGGAGUACGCACGCAAGUGUGAAACUCAAAGGAAUUGACGGGGGCCCGCACAAGCGGUGGAGUAUGUGGUUUAAUUCGAUGCAACGCGAAGAACCUUACCAAGGCUUGACAUCCUCGGAACCCUGAUGAAAGUUAGGGGUGCCUUCGGGAGCCGAGAGACAGGUGGUGCAUGGCUGUCGUCAGCUCGUGUCGUGAGAUGUUGGGUUAAGUCCCGCAACGAGCGCAACCCACGUUUUUAGUUGCCAGCAUUCAGUUGGGCACUCUAGAGAGACUGCCGGUGACAAACCGGAGGAAGGUGUGGAUGACGUCAAGUCAGCAUGCCCCAUACGCCUUGGGCUACACACGUACUACAAUGCGUCGGACAAAGAGCAGCCAGCCAGCGAUGGUGAGCCAAUCUCAUAAACCGGCGCUCAGUUCAGGUUGCAGGCUGCAACUCGCCUGCAUGAAGGCGGAAUCGCUAGUAAUCGCAGGUCAGCAUACUGCGGUGAAUACGUUCCCGGGCCUUGUACACACCGCCCGUCACACCAUGGGAGUUGGUCACGCCCGAAGUCGUUACUCUAACUGCUUGCAGAGGAGGACGCCGAAGGUGGGGCUGAUGACUGGGGUGAAGUCGUAACAAGGUA